AGUUAUUUAUCUAUCGAAAGAAUUAUGUUUUGAAAAUAUACAAAAGAGGUUAAAAUCCUCUAUUAACUU
rnacentral:tRNA from 1 species